rnacentral:tRNA from 1 species
GGAAGGGUGGCCGAGUGGUUAAUGGCAGCAGACUGUAAAUCUGCCCUCUUAGGAGUACGAAAGUUCGAAUCUUUCCCCUUCCACCA